rnacentral:misc_RNA from 1 species
GGACGUUAUACCUUCUAAGUAAGGUAGUCUAUCUUUUUACAAAGGAAAUGUUUGAUGAUGUUCAAAUGAAAACUUGCAUUUGGACUUCAGAAUUGACUCUAUGAGUUAUAGGUGCUAUCAUGCUAAGCAUUUAAUGAACAUGAAAAAUACUGUUAGACAUAUCCUGUCCAAAUUUGCUGUUACUUUCCCUCCAAUGAAAUUUGUUUGUCAUCUAUGUCUGAAUAAGCAUUAUUUUGAGCUGCCAAUUUGCCUGAAAUGAAGGUUGAAAGAGGAUUACCUUGUCCCAUCACAGUUUAAUAUGAGUAGCUUUGUAUCUUAAUUAAUCAUGUAAUAAUCUAAUAGAGAAGAGAUUGAUCAUUGAAAUGUCAGUAGAUUUAUGUUAUGCCUUGUGCUGUAUGGAACAAAUAUCACCAGAAAUAUGUCCUGGUUUUGUUUCAUGUGAUUAUUGAUUGCAGGUUGGUAAACUGGGUCUGAUGGAGCAGUCAGUCUGGGUUAUAGCAUUUGCACAUGAUUUAUAUGAGGUCCUUUUGCAUUUUUUUAGUGCAGUAUUUAAUUGAGGGUCUGAUGUAUUAAUUGUCAUAAAUUGAUUGAUAGAUACAAACAGGGAGAAUUGUGUUAUUUAAUUUUAGUUCUAUAGUGGUCUUGAGUACGUGUUUCUGGUUUCGAAGCCAUAGUUAAACCAUGAUUCAUAAAUCAAUCAUAUUCUACCUUUUCUGCUCAAGUUUUUUGAACCUUUAUCAUG